UCUGAUGCAGCGAUGCGCGUGAGGGAAGAAGGUUCUCGGAUUGUAAACCUCUGUCUUCAGGGCGAAAAUGACGGUACCUGAGGAGGAAGCUCCGGCUAACUACGUGCCAGCAGCCGCGGUAAUACGUAGGGAGCGAGCGUUGUCCGGAAUUACUGGGUGUAAAGGGAGCGUAGGCGGGGCUUUAAGUCAGGUGUGAAAUAUAUGGGCUCAACCCAUAGACUGCACUUGAAACUGAGGCUCUUGAGUGAAGUAGAGGCAGGCGGAAUUCCUAGUGUAGCGGUGAAAUGCGUAGAUAUUAGGAGGAACAUCAGUGGCGAAGGCGGCCUGCUGGGCUUUUACUGACGCUGAGGCUCGAAAGCGUGGGGAGCAAACAGGAUUAGAUACCCUGGUAGUCCACGCCGUAAACGAUGAUUACUAGGUGUGGGGGGACUGACCCCUUCCGUGCCGCAGUUAACACAAUAAGUAAUCCACCUGGGGAGUACGGCCGCAAGGUUG
rnacentral:rRNA from 1 species